UUGGCUUGCUCACAUCAGUGUCCAGAUUCUUUCCCGCACUUUCGAGGGGCCCUGAGAUUACAGAAG
ensembl:misc_RNA